rnacentral:rRNA from 1 species
AGUGAACGCUGGCGGUAGGCCUAACACAUGCAAGUCGAACGGCAGCACAGUAAGAGCUUGCUCUUACGGGUGGCGAGUGGCGGACGGGUGAGGAAUACAUCGGAAUCUACUUUUUCGUGGGGGAUAACGUAGGGAAACUUACGCUAAUACCGCAUACUACCUACGGGUGAAAGCAGGGGAUCUUCGGACCUUGCGCGAUUGAAUGAGCCGAUGUCGGAUUAGCUAGUUGGCGGGGUAACGGCCCACCAAGGCGACGAUCCGUAGCUGGUCUGAGAGGAUGAUCAGCCACACUGGAACUGAGACACGGUCCAGACUCCUACGGGAGGCAGCAGUGGGGAAUAUUGGACAAUGGGCGCAAGCCUGAUCCAGCCAUACCGCGUGGGUGAAGAAGGCCUUCGGGUUGUAAAGCCCUUUUGUUGGGAAAGAAAAGCAGCAGGUUAAUACCCCGCUGUUCUGACGGUACCCAAAGAAUAAGCACCGGCUAACUUCGUG